rnacentral:rRNA from 1 species
AUUGAACGCUGGCGGCAUGCCUUACACAUGCAAGUCGAACGGCAGCACGGGGCAACCUGGUGGCGAGUGGCGAACGGGUGAGUAAUGCAUCGGAACGUACUUUUCAGUGGGGGAUAACGUAGCGAAAGUUACGCUAAUACCGCAUAUUCUGUGAGCAGGAAAGCAGGGGAUCGCAAGACCUUGCGCUGAUUGAGCGGCCGAUGUCAGAUUAGCGAGUUGGUGAGGUAAAGGCUCACCAAGGCGACGACCUGUAGCGGGCCUGAGAGGAUGAUCCGCCACACUGUAACUGAGACACGGUCCAGACUCCUACGGGAGGCAGCAGUGGGUAAUUGUGGACAAUGGGGGCAACCCUGAUCCAGCCAUGCCGCGUGGGUGAAGAAGGCCUUCUGGUUGUAAAGCUCUUUCGGCCGGGAAGAAAUCGCACGGGCUAAUAGCCUGUGUGGAUGACGGUACCGGAAUAAGAAGCGCCGGCUAACUACGUGCCAGCCGCCGCGGUAACAC